CGUAACACGUAUGUAACCUACCUUCGUCAGGGGGAUAGCCUCUCGAAAGAGAGAUUAAGCCCGCAUAAAAUCACAUUGCAGCAUUGCAAAAUGAUCAAAUAUUUAUAGGACGAAGAUGGGCAUGCGGAACAUUAGCUAGUUGGUAAGGUAACGGCUUACCAAGGCUACGAUGUUUAGGGGAUCUGAGAGGAUGACCCCCCACACUGGUACUGAGACACGGACCAG
rnacentral:rRNA from 1 species